GCCGGGGUGGCGGAACUGGUAGACGCAAGGGACUUAAAAUCCCUCGGUUGCUAUGUAACCGUGCCGGUUCGAGUCCGGCCCUCGGCA
rnacentral:tRNA from 2 species